rnacentral:rRNA from 1 species
UGCGUAGACGGUAUGUUAAGUUUGUUGUUAAAGGCUCCGGCCUAACUGGAGUAUUGCGAUGAAAACUGGCGUGCUAGAGGGUGAGAGAGAGAAGUGGAAUUCCCGGAGUAGCGGUAAAAUGCGUGGAUCUCGGGAGGAACACCAAUGGCGAAGGCAGCUUCUUGGCUCAUUUCCUGACGUUGAGGCACGAAAGCGUGGGGAGCAAACA